rnacentral:rRNA from 1 species
UACGGAGGGUGCAAGCGUUAUCCGGAUUUACUGGGUUUAAAGCGUGCGCAGGCGGUUUUGUAAGCCAGAUGUGAAAUCCCCGGGCUCAACCUGGGAAUGGCAUUUGGGACUGCAAGGCUCGAGUUUGGCAGAGGAGACUGGAAUUCCUGGUGUAGCAGUGAAAUGCGUAGAUAUCAGGAGGAAUACCGAUGGCGAAGGCAGGUCUCUGGGCUGAAACUGACGCUCAUGCACGAAAGCGUGGGGAGCAAACAGG